rnacentral:rRNA from 1 species
GAUAAACGCUAGCGGCGUGCCUUAUGCAUGCAAGUCGAACGGUUUAUCGAAAGAUAAAUAGUGGCAAACGGCUGAGUAACACAUAAGUAACCUAUCCCAAAGUGGGGAAUAAUCCACCGAAAGGCGGACUAAUACCGCAUGUGGUAGUGGAGGCAGGUUUUCACUACUAAAGCCUUCGGGCGCUUAGGGAGGGGCUUGUGUCCUAUCAGGUAGUUGGUGGGGUAACGGCUUACCAAGCCUAUGACGGGUAGCUGGUUUGAGAGGACGUCCAGCCAGACGGGGACUGAGACACGGCCCCGACACCUACGGGUGGCAG